rnacentral:tRNA from 1 species
GGGAUUGUGGCUCAGUGGUAGAGCGCUUGCCUAGCAUGUGUGAGGCCCUGGGUUCAAUUCUCAGCACCA